rnacentral:rRNA from 1 species
GAAAUGCGAUACGUGGUGUGAAUUGCAGAAUCCCGUGAACCAUCGAAUUUUUGAACGCAAGUUGCGCCCGAGGCCUUUUUGGCCUAGGGCACGCCUGCCUGGGCGUCAGUUGCCCCUCGGCGCUCCGUGCCAUGUGUGAUCUCUCACGGCUGGAUGCGGGCCUGGCCCUCCGAGUCCCUGAGCUCGGCGGGCCAAAGCGUUUGGCUUGCCCAUCGGGGCUGGCUGUGGCGAGUGGUGGAUCGAUCGCUCAGACGAGCCGUACGUCGCCCAGCUAGACCCCUCGGGUGUAUGGCCUUGUUGAAACCCCAGAAUAGCAGAUGCCGAAUGGCAUUGGCGAAACCAAGACCCCAGGUCAGGCGGGACCACCCGCCGAGUUUAA